GCCAUGAGCAAUAAAUACUGAUUAUUGUAUGCCGCUCUAGCUUUGUGGUUGUCAGCAAAGAAAAGAGUUCCGACUGCCCCUCAGAACAUUUCAUCCUUUGCCCAUGGGUUCGGCCAGCUGGGACGAUCCACAUCUCCAAUGAGGAAGAUCUUCACAGGCUUCCCAGAAUCCCAGAUUCUCCCCUGCACGGGAAGGAGGGGUCCACGCAGAUGAAAGCCAGGCAGGAAACAUGGCGGGAGAAGAAAAGAGGAAAGAAGAGAGAUGGGUCAGCUGAGGCCGAUUCAGUCCCCGCAGCCCAGGGAGCAUCUCCCCUCUGCAGAACAAGCCAGGCCCCCCUGUGAGGCUGGACAAAACACCCCUCAAGAGAAGGAGCCACGUCUUACUUCCAGAGCCUGGGAGAACACUGUUAACCCCAGGAUUGCCCCACGCGUGGUCUCUGAAAUGAGCCAGACUGGAGCCCACCACGUCUGCAGCCGUAUGCGUCUACUGUGCUUGCGGGCCCUUCCCGGGCGACGCGCAGGUCGGAGCUCAUAGCAACCCCCUCGGACUGUCCCAGCCUCCCCUGUCCUGGAGUUUGGCUGGAGCAAAGCCUGCUCGAACAAGUUAGCACAGGAUAGGCUUGUGAACAAGUCCUGCUUGCUACCCGGUAGGCUUUCUUCACAAAGGCCCCUAUUGACUUUACUCAUGUUCGGUGAGCGCACAUGACUUCUGCCUCCCUUGUGUGCGCAGACCCCUGCUUGACAGCCCCCCGCGGGGCAUAUUCCAGCCAGGGGUCCUUACAGAGAGGCUGCUCCAAGAGCAACGCUGACCGACUGACUCUCGGGGAAGGCCCGGCUGCUGGGGGACUUCACAGAGGGUCACCGGAGCCACAGAGACUCAGCUCCUCUGGGCCCAGGAGGAAAGCUGGUCUCCUCUUGAGCCCUCCCUUCCUUUCAACUCAGUUCUCCACGGCACCCACAGGGGGUGUGAGCACUUGGGUAUAAUCAUCCCAGGUGGUCACUUUUGCCUGAGAAAAUAAAGAUGAUCACACCAGCGGGACAGCGAGGGCUGCGUGUGAGUGUGCGCACGUGUGUGUUGUACAUGCAUACAUGUGUGCAUGCGUGUAAAUCACGGCAUGCUGUGGGUGGGGACACAGACAAGAGCUCCUCCUCCUCUCUUUUCACAGCAUUUGCUGGAAAGCUCUCGGGUGCGUCGGAAUGGAAAAAGCAGCACAAUUCUCAACUAGUGGACGUCUGUCCCAUCGCUCUAGAGAGGUCCUUCCUUUUCAACAUGAACUUCAGGGUGUUCUUAGGACUGAGAUCACGGGCAGGAGUAGACAGACCAGCGAUGCUUUUAAGUGACAGCCAAUCAGUCUCACGUCAAGUGCGAUGUAGACCGCCUUUUCCAUGCAAAAGACAAGCCGUUGCUUAAGGUUAAAAUUAAAUGAGCAAUUAUUCACAAUAGCCAAAGGUGGGAGCAAAAAUGUCCAUCAGCAGUUGAACAGAUAACCAAAACGUGGCAUAUACAUACAAUGGAAUAUGAUUCAGCCUUAAAAAGGAAUAAAAUUCUAACACAGGCUACUAUAUGGAUGAACCUUGAAGGCAUUAUGCUAAGUGAAAUAAGCCAAUUCAAAGGGACAAAAAAGAUAUGAUUCCCCUUCUAUGAGGUACCUAACAUAGAGAAAUUCAUAGAGACAGAGGGGUGAAUGGUGGUCGCUGGGAGCUGGGGGUGGAGAGAAUGGGGAGUUGGUGCUU